GCCCCGCCGCCAAUGCCCGGAGCGCGGCCCCGCUGUCAAUCACGGAGCCGUCGGAGCUGCCCGGCUCCUUCCUUCCUUCCUUCCUUCCUUCCUUCCUUCCCCUCCGCCGGGAGGCAGCGGGCACGGCCGCGCGGGGGUCCGGCGCCCACGGGGCGGGGGGGCACGAGGCACCGGAGGAUCCCGCGGCCGCAGCAGUGGCCUAGAGGCGGGUUUUCGGGCCGCCGUGCCGGGACCCGGAGGUUCGGCUUUGCCGCGCCAAGGAGACCCUCUUCGCCAGACUUCCUCGAAGGCAGAGGAAUGCCAUCGUCCCACGCUACCAGCCCUGUCGCGACAGGACGCUGCAAUCUGAAAACCGAUUAGUACGCUUUGGGAGCAGGGUUAUUGUCUAGCCUAGCUUUUGAAGACCCUGAAUUUUGGUUCGUUCUUUACAUCAAACCUUAGAUUUUGAAGACACACACAAUGCAACUAGGACAUUUGCGCUCUCUUAUGUGGGAGGGGAAAAAUAGCCCUAAAAUGAACCAAAAGAAAGAUUCAAAUCCUUUAAUUUCUUGUCAUCCCCCCCGGUCCCUCUUGUUUGGUUUAAACCCACCUUGGCACUGUGCUCCAACCUGCAGUCUUUGGUCACUACCAUGGGCGAGUUGGAAAUCCACACAAAUAAAUUUGUGCUGCUGUUGCGAUUCGGUGGUACAAAGACCACCGGAA